UCUCUGGGACCUCCUUAGCCCUGUCUGCUAGGCGCUGGGGAGACUGAUAACUUGGGGAGGCAAGAGACUGGGAGCCACUUCUCCCCAGAAAGUGUUUAAUGGUUUUAGCUUUUUAUAAUACCCUUGUGAGAGCCCAUUCCCACCAUUCUACCUGAGGCCAGGACGUCUGGGGUGUGGGGAUUGGUGUGUCUAUGUUCCCCAGGAUUCAGCUAUUCUGGAAGAUCAGCACCCUAAGAGAUGGGACUAGGACCUGAGCCUGGUCCUGGCCGUCCCUAAGCAUGUGUCCCAGGAGCAGGACCUACUAGGAGAGGGGGGCCAAGGUCCUGCUCAACUCUACCCCUGCUCCCAUUCCUCCCUCCGGCCAUACUGCCUUUGCAGUUGGACUCUCAGGGAUUCUGGGCUUGGGGUGUGGGGUGGGGUGGAGUCGCAGACCAGAGCUGUCUGAACUCAUGUGUCAGAAGCCUCCAAGCCUGCCUCCCAGGGUCCUCUCAGUUCUCUCCCUUCCUCUCUCCUUAUAGACACUUGCUCCCAACCCAUUCACUACAGGUGAAGGCUCUCACCCCCAUCCCUGGGGGCCUUGGGUGAGUGGCCUGCUAAGGCCCCUCCUUGCCCAGACUACAGGGCUUAGGACUUGGUUUGUUAUUUCAGGGAAAAGGAGUAGGGAGUUCAUCUGGAGGGUUCUAAGUGGGAGAAGGACUAUCAACACCACUAGGAAUCCCAGAGGUGGGAUCCUCCCUCAUGGCUCUGGCACAGUGUAAUCCAGGGGUGUAGAUGGGGGAACUGUGAAUACUUGAACUCUGUUCCCCCACCCUCCAUGCUCCUCACCUGUCUAGGUCUCCUCAGGGUGGGGGGUGAGAGUGCCUUCUCUAUUGGGCACAGCCUAGGGUCUUGGGGGUCGGGGGGAGAAGUUCUUGAUUCAGCCAAAUGCAGGGAGGGGAGGCAGAUGGAGCCCAUAGGCCACCUCCUAUCCUCUGAGUGUUUGGAAAUAAA
rnacentral:lncRNA from 1 species